GUCCUCGUAGCUUAAUUGGAUAAAGCGUCGGCCUCCGGAGCCGAAAACUGUGGGUUCGAGUCCCACCGAGGGCACCA
rnacentral:tRNA from 1 species